GGAAGGCAGGCGCGCAACUUACCCACUCCCGGCUCGGGGAGGUAGUGACGAAAAAUGCCUCGUCGGGAAUAGUACUAGCUCCCGUUGCAGGAAUGAGGGCGCACCAAACACGCGCCCCAAACCGAUUGGAGGGCAAGACUGGUGCCAGCAGCAGCGGUAACUCCAGCUCCAAUAGCGUAUAUUAAAGUUGCUGCGGUUAAAAAGCUCGUAGUUGAAUCUCUGUCCCGUCCGCCCGUCCAUCGGCCCCCCGUUGGGGCAACUAACCCUAGGCGGGCGGCGGACAUAGGCGCCGUUUGCGCGGGGAGGAUGAUUGUCACCAGUGGCCUCCGCCCCGGCGUUCGGUGUCAGUUACUCUGGAMUAAAUGAUAGUGCUCAAGGCAUUUGACGUGGUUUGUGGUGCAUGGAAUAACCGAACAGGACCUCCGUCCUGUCAAGUGUUGGUCCGAAAGGCGAGGUGAUGAUUAAGAGGAGCGGACGGGGGCAUUCGUAGUGCGGCGCUAGGGGUGAAAUCCGGUGACCGUCGCACGACGAACUACUGCGAAAGCAUUUGCCAAGAAUGUUUCCUUUAACCAAGAACGAAAGUCAGAGGAUCGAAGGUGAUUAGAUACCGCCCUAGUUCUGACCUUAAACUAUGUCGACCAGCUAUCACCUUGCUUGAAUAUUGCGUAGCAGGUGGAAGCUUCCCCGGGAAACCAGAUUUUCUGGGAUCC
rnacentral:rRNA from 1 species